AAUCAGAAUUCUCUUGGGCAUUGUACAGACGCAGAAGUGUUUAGCAUCCAUUAACAAAAUGUACAAAAUGGUACCAAUUAUAAAUUAGUGUAUGCAGAGGAUAAAUCUAUAGUGAAUUGUCCCAAGAGCGAAAGAGGAAAGUAAGAUCAGCUAGAAAACCAUUUUUAGAUGUGCAUAUUGCCGUAACAAUGUAACUAAAUGAUUAGUAAUUCUUUAUUAAGAAUACACCUUAAUUAAAUAAUGAUUCAUAAUAAUUUACAAUAUAGCAUAUUACAAGAUUCCUCAUGGGUUAGACAGACAGAAUCCCUGAAUAUUUUUGGGUAUAAUUAUCUGCCUGUUAACUUUUUCCUAUCAAAAAUUAAUUAACUCUCUUGUUUAAAAAAUUAUUUUGAGGAUCAUAUGUAUACCACACAUUGCUUUAUUCUUCCUUUGUAGGCAAAUAAUACUAAUCAGAACACUAAGAAUUGUUGUACCUUGAAGGUGAGAUUUUGUUACUUGGAAAAUACAAUUUCAAAAUGCUUAAGGACUAACCAGACACAACACCAAUCCAUUAUAGCAUGUUUUACUUAUUCUCUUUGCAGCCUUCCAAACAUUAUAAAUUGUACAUCUGUAAUUCAUUCUUUUAUGUACAUAGUAUUCAGAGGGAAAAUCAACAGGUUAUCGAUGGUCUCAACCCCGUUGGCUACUAACAGUACCCAAAAUGUUUUUCACAUAGCUUUGCCCAAUCCCUAAAACAGCAAAUAAACGCUCCAAGCAAAUUAAUAUGUUAGAAGGAAGUUUCUAUUAUAAAAUGAAUAAAACAUUUUCCAAGGAAAAGGAGUGUGGUGACAGGAAAAUUCGGAGCUUCUUUAUAUCGCGUCAAUCCAUAGAUCCACUUUCCUUGGUGCUCGACAUAAUUGGCACGCUCCUAAAGCUUACCUGGAGCUAACCAGGGGGCGACUCCAUGUUGAGCACGCGUCUCCCUACGAUCAGGGAGAAAGGCAUUCCCGGAAAGCUUUUAAACCCAUCUUCUUUCAAAUGAUGUGCCGCACCUCUGAUACGCUGAUGGGACUGGGCGCCCAUUGGAGGAAGCUGCACGGGGCGGAAGGAGCUGCCAGUUCUCGGCCAAUAGCUGCAGGGAUGCCUUAGUUUAGUUACCCUUUUCGUACUUUUUUUCUCUUGUUCUUCCGCGCCGGAAAGCCUCAGGCUUCCUUGUUGGGUUGCAUCCACAACUUCACCAAAAAGUACUUUUCUACAUCGGAAAUCUGGAAUUUCACCCACACCCUCCUGAAAGAACGCUGCGACGGCUACUCCGAGGUCAAUGGAUCUCAGAAUCAUCCGCUGAGAAUACGAAAGUGUAAAAGGCAGCCAACGCGUUCAAAUGAAAUUUAUGUACUUCUGGAACUCAGAGAAAUGUGGUACAGCUAUGAAGCAUAUGAAGAUACCACACUGAGUUGGAAAUAAAUCUCUACUGAACCAUGCAAUGCUUAAACAAGUUUAUAUUUUUUUACGAAGUUUAUUUUUAAUGGUGUUAAUUUAUUGUGUAUGAACAUUUAAACGUACAUGAAUGUCAUAAGAUCAUUUGAAACCACAAUAAAUACUUUCAUGAUAUGCUUUACAAUU